AUGGAGCACAAAACUGUCUGGUGUCUCAUCUUCAUACUGAUGACCUUAAAAAGCUGUAGAAGUCAGACACUGACUGAAUCUGAGCCAGUGGUCAUUAAUCCUGGAGGAUCUCACAAACUGACCUGCACAGUCUCUGGAUUUACAAGCAACUACUGGAUGGCUUGGGUCAGACAGGCUGCUGGGAAAGGCCUGGAAUGGGUGGCAUCUAUCAAUGGUAGAGGUGGGAGCCAAUAUUACUCAAGCGCUGUUCAGGGAAGAUUCACCAUCUCCAGAGACAACAACAAGCAGCAGGUGUAUCUGCAGAUGAACAGCCUGAAGACUGAGGACACGGCUGUGUAUUACUGUGCCAGAGAGUCACAGUGGCACAAUAUGCUGCAGAGAUGA